GUGGUAUUUGGGUUAGAGCUGGCAUUCAAUUAUUUGGUGUUACUUGUGAUGUAUGCAUUUUCAUUGAAGUUGCAUUUCCUCUCUAUUUGCAGGGUAUUUUGGUCCGGUUUGCUGAGUAGUUCCCCUAGAUUAAAGAUCACAAGGAGAAGAUAUCUUUUCUCGCAGCAUGUUUAGUCGGCCUUUGCAUAAUCCUAUGCUUCGAAGAUGAAGAAUGGCCACCCUAGAAUUACUGUUAUCUCAAUAACUUUGUAUUAUUAGCCAAUGCUACAACUUAUAGGCCAUCGAGCUUGUGAACUCGCCUUGUUAUUAGCAUCGUUCCCUGUAUUAGUAAUGUUAUUAGUAUACCUGGAACGCCUUGUAUGUCUGGAACGUGCUAUUACCAGUUUACCACCCUGCUGUCAGUACUUAUAAUCUCGGAUGGAUAGUUUUAUCGUACGGUGCCUGUUUUCUUCUUUUAUUGUUACUCUUUUUUUUAAAAAAAAUAAAGCUAUAAAUUGUACUCUGUAGUUUAUCUAUUUGUACCAUCCGACCUGACAGUAUAUGUUGUGAUAUGUGUGAACCAUCGACAGCUA